GGCCAGAUGGGCGAGCCUGAUCCAGCCAUGCCGCGUGUGUGAAGAAGGUCUUCGGAUUGUAAAGCACUUUAAGUUGGGAGGAAGGGUUGUAGAUUAAUACUCUGCAAUUUUGACGUUACCGACAGAAUAAGCACCGGCUAACUCUGUGCCAGCAGCCGCGGUAAUACAGAGGGUGCAAGCGUUAAUCGGAAUUACUGGGCGUAAAGCGCGCGUAGGUGGUUUGUUAAGUUGGAUGUGAAAUCCCCGGGCUCAACCUGGGAACUGCAUUCAAAACUGACUGACUAGAGUAUGGUAGAGGGUGGUGGAAUUUCCUGUGUAGCGGUGAAAUGCGUAGAUAUAGGAAGGAACACCAGUGGCGAAGGCGACCACCUGGACUAAUACUGACACUGAGGUGCGAAAGCGUGGGGAGCAAACAGGAUUAGAACCGGGGGGGAAUCCAAGG
rnacentral:rRNA from 1 species